rnacentral:rRNA from 1 species
UACAGGGGGUGCAAACGUUGCUCGGAAUCAUUGGGCGUAAAGCGCACGUAGGCGGUCUGUUAUGUCGGAUGUGAAAGCCCUUGGCUUAACUGAGGAAGUGCAUCCGAAACUGGCAGGCUAGAGUACUAAAAGAGGGUCGCGGAAUUCCCGGUGUAGCGGUGAAAUGCGCAGAUAUCAGGAAGAACACCCGUGGCUAAGGCGGCUCUCUAGUAACGGUACUGACGCUGAGACGCGAAAAAGCGUGGGGGGAGCGAAACAGGG